CACGUAGUUAGCCGGGGCUUCCUCCUAUGGUACCGUCAUCCUCUAGCAUUAAUUCACACUAGAGGCCUUCGUCCCAUAAGACAGAACUUUUACGACCCGAAGGCCUUCUUCAUUCACGCGGCGUUGCUCCGUCAGGCUUUCGCCCAUUGCGGAAGAUUCCCCACUGCUGCCUCCCGUAGGAGUCUGGGCCGUGUCUCAGUCCCAGUGUGGCCGUUCACCCUCUCAGGCCGGCUACUGAUCGUCGCCUUGGUGAGCCAUUACCUCACCAACUAGCUAAUCAGGCGCGGGCCCAUCCUUUAGCGAUAGCAUUGUUAAGAGGCCAUCUUUGCCUUGCAGGAAGAUGUCUUCCCGCAGGGUCAUCCGGUAUUAGCAGCCGUUUCCAGCUGUUGUCCCGGUCUUAACGGGUAGGUUUGCCCACGUGUUACUCACCCGUCCGCCACUAAGUAUAUUAAAAAGCAAGCUUCUUAAUAUACUCCGUUCGACUUGCAUGUGUUAAGCACGCCGCCAGCGUUCGUCCG
rnacentral:rRNA from 1 species